rnacentral:rRNA from 1 species
UAGAGGAAGUAAAAGUCGUAACAAGGUUUCCGUAGGUGAACCUGCGGAAGGAUCAUUAUCGAAACAGAACGCCCGGGGGGGAAGGGGGAGCGCCGACGGCCGGAGACUGUCGCACGGCCUCGUGCACGUCCCUCGCCGUCGCUCCUUCCGACCCUUUGAGGCUUCGACCUUCUCAACACCCGUGCACCCACUGUAGGUCCUUCGGGAUCUACGUCCUUCUUCGAACUCGCAUGUCUACAGAACGUAUUCGUCGUGUCCCGGCCUCGACCCUCAGGGUCCCGCGUCGGCGACCGCAAAACCUAUAAUACAACUUUCAGCAACGGAUCUCUUGGCUCUCGCAUCGAUGAAGAACGCAGCGAAUCGCGAUAAGUAAUGUGAAUUGCAGAUUUUCCGUGAAUCAUCGAAUCUUUGAACGCACCUUGCGCUCCUUGGUAUUCCGAGGAGCAUGCCUGUUUGAGUGUCAUCGAAACCUCAGAUCGACGCUUCGACCCCGUCGGAGCUCGGUCUGGACUAUGGGAGUCUGCGGGCGAAGCGUCGCUUCGUCGGCUCUCCUCAAAAGCAUUAGCCGUGGGUGGCGAGCCUGGCGUGGCACGGCCUCUUCGACGUCGUAAUGAUCGUCGUGGGCUGGAAGCGUAAGGCUCGGCGGACCCAUGCUUCGCAACCCUUGCGAGCCCGUCCCCUUGCGAGGGACGGCCGCGUCCCAUCGAAGCUUGACCUCAAAUCAGGUAGGACUACCCGCCGAACUUAAGCAUAUCAAU